GUUAAAACACCGGUUUCCGUACGAUCACCGAAGUUAAGCAACGUCGAGCCUUGUCAGUACCUAGAUGGGUGACCUCUUGGCAAUACCAGAUGCCA
rnacentral:rRNA from 1 species